rnacentral:tRNA from 1 species
GGGGAAUUAGCUCAUUUGAGAGAGAGCGCCGCACUUGCAAUGCGGAGGUGACCGGUUUGAUCCCGGUAUUCUCCACCA